rnacentral:siRNA from 1 species
CUGAAAGUAAGGCUUGGCGAC